rnacentral:rRNA from 1 species
GUGCAGCAGGCGAGAAACUUUACAAUGUGCGAAAGCACGAUAAGGGAACUCUGAGUGCCUCCUAAGGAGGCUGUUCAGGUGUCUAAAAGCACCUGAAGGAAGGGCUGGGUAAGACCGGUGCCAGCCGCCGCGGUAACACCGGCAGCCCAAGUGGUAGCCACGUUUAUUGGGUCUAAAGCGUCCGUAGCCGGCUGGGUAAGUUCCUUGGGAAAUUUGGCUGCUUAACAGUCAAGCUUUCAGGGAAUACUGCCCGGCUUGGGACCGGGAGAGGUCAGAGGUACUCCAGGGGUAGGGGUGAAAUCCAUUAAUCCUUGGGGGACCACCGGUAGCGAAGGCGUCUGACCAGACCGGGUCCGACGGUGAGGGACGAAGGCUAGGGGCGCGAACCGGAUUAGAUACCCGUGUAGU